AGUGAACGCUGGCGGUAGGCCUAACACAUGCAAGUCGAACGGCAGCACGGUAGAGCUUGCUCUUACGGGUGGCGAGUGGCGGACGGGUGAGGAAUACAUCGGAAUCUACUUUUUCGUGGGGGAUAACGUAGGGAAACUUACGCUAAUACCGCAUACGACCUACGGGUGAAAGCAGGGGAUCUUCGGACCUUGCGCGAUUGAAUGAGCCGAUGUCGGAUUAGCUAGUUGGCGGGGUAAAGGCCCACCAAGGCGACGAUCCGUAGCUGGUCUGAGAGGAUGAUCAGCCACACUGGAACUGAGACACGGUCCAGACUCCUACGGGAGGCAGCAGUGGGGAAUAUUGGACAAUGGGCGCAAGCCUGAUCCAGCCAUACCGCGUGGGUGAAGAAGGCCUUCGGGUUGUAAAGCCCUUUUGUUGGGAAAGAAAAGCAGCAGGUUAAUACCCCGCUGUUCUGACGGUACCCAAAGAAUAAGCACCGGCUAACUUCGUG
rnacentral:rRNA from 1 species